GACGUAGGGCGCGAGCGUUGUCCGGAUUUAUUGGGCGUAAAGAGCUCGUAGGCGGCUUGUCGCGUCGACUGUGAAAACUUGGGGCUCAACCCCAAGCCUGCAGUCGAUACGGGCAGGCUAGAGUUCGGUAGGGGAGACUGGAAUUCCCGGUGUAGCGGUGAAAUGCGCAGAUAUCGGGAGGAACACCCGUAGCGAAGGCGGCACUCUGGGCCGGUACUGACGCUGAGGAGCGAAAGCGUGGGGAGCAAACAGG
rnacentral:rRNA from 1 species